GCCUGGGUGGCUCAGUCGGUGGGGCGUCCGACUUCGGCUCAGGUCGCCAUCUCCCAGCUCGUGGGUUCGAGCCCCGCGUCGGGCU
rfam:Felis catus isolate Cinnamon breed Abyssinian chromosome A2, whole genome shotgun sequence.